rnacentral:rRNA from 1 species
GAUGAACGCUGGCGGCGUGCCUAAUACAUGCAAGUCGAGCGAACGGACGAGAAGCUUGCUUCUCUGAUGUUAGCGGCGGACGGGUGAGUAACACGUGGAUAACCUACCUAUAAGACUGGGAUAACUUCGGGAAACCGGAGCUAAUACCGGAUAAUAUUUUGAACCGCAUGGUUCAAAAGUAAAAGACGGUCUUGCUGUCACUUAUAGAUGGAUCCGCGCUGCAUUAGCUAGUUGGUAAGGUAACGGCUUACCAAGGCAACGAUGCAUAGCCGACCUGAGAGGGUGAUCGGCCACACUGGAACUGAGACACGGUCCAGACUCCUACGGGAGGCAGCAGUAGGGAAUCUUCCGCAAUGGGCGAACGCCUGACGGAGCAACGCCGCGUGAGUGAUGAAGGUCUUCGGAUCGUAAAACUCUGUUAUUAGGGAAGAACAUAUGUGUAAGUAACUGUGCACAUCUUGACGGUACCUAAUUAGAAAGCCACGGCUAACUACGUG